UUUUUUUUAAGACAAUUUAAUAGUAUAAAACACAUGUUGAUACUGACUGUGUACUAUGGGUAACACAUAGCAAAAACAAUAAGUCUUCCAAACGUUUGUAUAAAUAAUCACUAUGAAAGAAAGACAACUCUGAUGUUUACAAUAAUAGUUGCUUGCUAAUAAUUUCUAAUUUGUUAAGGUUCAUGAGGACCCUUUGGUUAAAAUGGCUGUAUUUUCACCUCAAAAUUUACUCUGAGUACAGACAAACCUGUGCAUCUGUAAAAUUUUAAGGCACAGCAUGCCCUAGAUAAAUAUAUUUCAAAUAUGUUUUGUGUUUUAGAAAAAUAAAAACUUACCAGGAUUUUGCAGUUCACUUUUUUUCAUUCCUCCAGAAGGUGCCAAAAUAAACUAAGUUGUGAAACAGUUUUGAGAACUUCCCCACAGGUAAUAAUUGAAGUGAGCUGUAUUGAUUGACAUGGACAAUAGAUGGACAAUAGAUACCUGACAAUAAUUGGUGAUUUAAACUGUGUACCUGAGUGGACCAUAUCAAGGAAAACUCAACUGUUUGUUAAUUUUAUCAUCUUCUGCAGGUACGAAAAAAAGUGCAUUGCAAAAUCCAGUUAAGUUAUGAAUUUUCUAAAUAAUACAAUGCAUUUGAAUACUAUUUAUCUAGGGCAUGCUAUGCCCUAAAACUUUUCCAGGUGCACAGAUUUGUCUGUACUCAGAGUAAAUUUUGAGGUGAAAAUACGGCCAUUUUAGCCAAAGGGUCCACAUGAACCUUAAUGUGAAUUUUAAAGCAUAUAUUUAUUUUCAAGCAUUUAUUUAUUUUAAAGCAUUUAUUUAUUUCAAUGCAUUUAUUUUUUCAACUUAACUGAGAGCAUUGGUAAAUGCAUUUUUUGACUCAUUGUGGUAAGUAAGCAAUGGUUACACAUUUGAAAUAAUUCACACACACAUUGUAGUUAUGUUCUUAACCAAAAGAUUUGAAUGUAAUACACUUAAUAAUAUACUAAAUAGAUAAGUAAUUUAGUCUUUCAAAUAAUCUUACAAUAUUUUCUGGAUUCUAUCCUACCCAAUCAUAGGUAUUAUUACCAAACAAGCCAGUUUUACUAGUUUUGUUGCACAGCAGGUUUAUUACAUGGGAUUUUCAAGUAGUUUGUAUUUCAUUUUCAUAUUUUCAAUCCUUAUUUGAUGCAUGUGAACAUAUUUGACAUAGCCUGUUUGAGGCAUGCUUGAUAAUAUAAAAAUAAGAAGAUGUGGUAUGAUGAAGGACAACUCUUCACCACAAAUCAACUGACAGAGCAGUUAGCAUCUAUAGGUCGCUUCAACAUUGAUAUAAAUGGUCUUCAACAAUGAUCAAACCUUAUACUACACAGCAAGCUAUAAAAAGUCCUGAAAUGACAAAUGUAAAACAAUACAAACAAGAAAACUGAAGACCUGAUUUAUAUACAAAACAAUAAACAAAAACCAACAAGCACUAUAGGAUCAAACUCUUGAUCUCACACCUGAAGAUGCUUCUGCACAACAAAUCACAUGGCUGUUAGCCAUCACCGUUCCAAAAUAUGACCAUGGACACAAAUCAAGAAAAAUGGCCAUUAAUGCUGAGGGUACUUACAACUGCAUUCAUCUGUAGUUAUAUCGGCCAAAAAUAAGAAAUUUCAAAAGUAAAUUUAAGAUGUAUAAGGUUCCUUAUCAGUUCUUAGUCAGUAAUAAAAAAUAAACUGAUAAUAUAUAUCAUAGCACAUGUACCAUUCAAUAACAUAACCUUUUUGUUACCAG
rnacentral:lncRNA from 1 species